rnacentral:rRNA from 1 species
CGCUGGCGGCGUGCCUAAUACAUGCAAGUCGAACGGUCUUUCUAUGGAAGCUUGCUUCCACUGAGAAGAUAGUGGCGAACGGGUGAGUAACACGUGGGUAACCUGCCCAUAAGAGGGGGGAUAACAUCCGGAAACGGGUGCUAAUACCGCAUAGUUUUCUUGAUCGCAUGAUCGGGAAAGGAAAGACGGCCUUUGUGCUGUCGCUUAUGGAUGGACCCGCGGCGUAUUAGUUAGUUGGUGAGGUAACGGCUCACCAAGACGAUGAUACGUAGCCGACCUGAGAGGGUGAUCGGCCACAUUGGGACUGAGACACGGCCCAAACUCCUACGGGAGGCAGCAGUAGGGAAUCUUCCGCAAUGGACGAAAGUCUGACGGAGCAACGCCGCGUGAGUGAAGAAAGGUUUUCGGAUCGUAAAACUCUGUUGUCAGAGAAGAACAAGUUGGAGAGUAACUGCUCCAGCCUUGACGGUAUCUGACCAGAAAGCCACGGCUAACUACGUGCCAGCCGCGGC